rnacentral:rRNA from 1 species
UCGAGAAUCAUUCGCAAUGGGCGAAAGCCUGACGAUGCGACGCCGUGUGAGCGAAGAAGGCCUUAGGGUUGUAAAGCUCUUUCGCCUGUGAACAAGAGAAGUCGGCUAACAUCCGACUAAUUUGAGGGUAGCAGGUAAAGAAGCACCGGCUAACUCCGUGCCAGCAGCUGCGGUAAUACGGAGGGUGCAAGCAUUAAUCGGAUUUAUUGGGCGUAAAGGGCGCGUAGGCGGAUAAGUAAGUCAGAUGUGAAAUCCUGGGGCUCAACCCCAGAACAGCAUUUGAAACUGCUCAUCUAGAGGGUAGGCGGAGAAAACGGAAUUCCACAAGUAGCGGUGAAAUGCGUAGAUAUGUGGAAGAACACCGGUGGCGAAGGCGGUUUUCUAGCUUAUUCCUGACGCUGAGGCGCGAAAGCAAGGGGAUCAAACAGGAUUAGAUACCCCCGUAGUCC